ACAAAAGUCAAAGUUGUUUGACUACCGACUUUAUAAAGUUUUAAUCUUGACCGUUGAAAUUUACAUAAUCAAAUCUAGACCGUCAAUUUCUUUCAUACCUCAUCUAUAAAUAAUGCUCUUCUCUUUCUCAAUGUUCAUCUCUAACCACAUCUUCCUUGCUCUAAAUAGUUUUCUCUACACGGUCGCUGGGGAUAUUCUUCUAAACGCGUCUCUGAUUUUUUUUGAAUCGAUCAUCGUUCCUACUUCUGGAUUUUCACUUUCCAUGGAUAAUUUAUUUUUCUAGGGUUUGUUUCUAAAGCAUCGAUGGCUUUUUAUGUUCAUGCGAUUUACUUUUUCCCUGUGUUAUUCUAGAUUGUGGUUUGAUGAUUUGAUCGUUCGGUGAUGUCUUUUAUGGAUCGUUGUCACGGGUAUUCUCUACGCUACUAGGUCUUCAGAUUGUGGAUGAUGCUAUGAUCGAUCGGUGAUUGUUUUUCUGGAUUUUUGUCACGCGUUUUCUCUACGAUAUGUCUUCAAGCGAAUUUUGAUCCGAUCCUCGUUCUCGCUUCUGAGUUUUCUCAUUUCACUGAUUAUUUAUUCUUCUAGGGGUUGGUUUCUAAAUUGCAUCGAGUGGUCUGUUCUAAUCCAUGUUAUUUGCUUCUCGUUUUAUUGUUGAUUUAGAUUUAGAUUGUGGAGGAUGCUAUGAUUGAUCGGUGAUGGCUUUGAUUGAUCCUUGUCAUGCGGUUUCUUAGGAUCUUUUGUCUUUCUACUCCCAAUUUUUAAUUCUUAUGCCGAUUUUUUUCUGUAUAAGCGAAAAAUAUCAUCUUUCUUUGAUGCAGAUCGUCAAGGCACCGGGAUUACUCUGAUAAAUAUCUCUUCUCGUCUAUCAUCGAUUUAGGUUUCUUCUGAUUUCUCGUGCUACAGCUUUUUUUAUUUUCCCUACCUCUGUUCCAUUUCGUCUCUGUUUAUCUUGAAGGAUGCGUGUGAUCUGUCGUCGCUCCCUUUUACCUCUGCUUCCUUUUUUAGAGUUCUUAUAUCACCUGAGUUAUGAUAUUGGCUAUUGUUGGUGAGGUUUUGUUCCUCUUUGCCUCCGGGAUCUGUUGCAAUCUGUUUGUUCUAACAUACGCCCUGGUUAACUGGUCUAUUUCUCGGUCUCUCUGUUGUUGUAUGUUAAAUCUAUGUAUAGUGUUUGAUCCUACUCUCAUAUGCUUGUGACGAUGUUUUUAUUUGUGAAGUGUCCCCCAUCUUUUAGGGUUUUUGAGGAUGCGAAGAAGGCUAGUUCUGUCUCAGUUUGUUUUGAAAGAUGUCUUUGAUCUAUCGUGGCUCCCUGUUACUUCUUUGGCGGUGUCUUAUAUCUCCCUUUGUUUUAUUUUUAGGGUUUUGAAUUUCCCUAUUACCUGAUGUUUUUCGUUUUAAAUCGUAGAGAUCAAGGCAUUGUGGGAGGGAUGGAUGGUUUUAAGUAUAAUUUUGUGUAUUUGGUUACUUCUCAUCUAUACACUUUUUUUUUCCUAUAGAUUGUUUUAUCUAAUAUUGGCCAUUGUUGGUGAGGUAUGAUUUGUCCGCUGUGUCUGUGUUUCCCAGAUUUUCUUUACCAAUCACUUCACUCCGUUUAAGAGGUCAAAACAUUGUGGCAGGGAAGGAUGGUUUGAGUAUAAUUUUGUGUUUCUGGUUACUUCUGAUCUAUCCACCUUUUCCUAUAGAUUGUUUUAUAUCUAAUAUUGGCUAUUGCUGGUGAGGUAUGAUUUGUCCUCUGUGUCUGUGUUUCCCAGAUUUUCUUUACCAAUCACUUCACUCCGUUUAAGAGGUCAAAGCAUUGUGGCAGGGAAGGAUGGUUUGAGUAUAAUUUUGUGUUUCUGGUUACUUCUGAUCUAUCCACCUUUUCCUAUAGAUUGUUUUAUAUCUAAUAUUGGCUAUUGUUGGUGAGGUAUGAUUUGUCCUCUGUGUCUGUGUUUCCCAGAUUUUCUUCACCACUUCACUCCGUUUCUCUGAUGUGUACACACUUGAAAGAUGAUCAUAUAUUCCUUCCAAACGAGUUUGUUCUUAUGUCUUGUCCUUUUAAUCAGCUUUUGUAUUGAACGUUUUCAAAUAUCUUAGGAUAUCUAUCUCUGGCUUCCUGAGGUUUGGACUGUACCAUCAGGGAGUUUUCAACAUUUCUUGCUAUUUGAUGUUUCAGGUUAAAAUUAGAUCUUCCUAGUGAUGAUGGAACUUCUGUCCUUCUAUUCCCAAUUUUUAAUUCCUAUGCCGAUUUUUUUCUUCUAUAUAAUCGAAAAUAUCAUCUCUCUUUGAUGCAAGAUCGUCGAGGCACCUCAAUUGCUCUGAGAAAUAUCUCUUUUGUCUGUCAAUUAUUUAGGUUUCUUCUGAUUUCUCGUGCUUUUUUAUUUUCCCUGUUUACAACCACAAUUACCUCUGUUCUAUUUUGUCUGUGUUUAUCUUGAAGGACGUGUUGAUCUGUCGUCGCUCCCUUUUACCUCUUUGGCGGUUUCUUCUUUCCCUAUGCUUCCUUUUUAGGAUUUUUAGAUGACCAGAUUUCUUUUCUUUUCUGAUUUUUUGGAGAAAUUUCCAUGUUAGGUCGUAGAUGUUCAAGGCAUUGUUGGAGGGAGGAUGGUUUGAGUAUGAUUUGGUGUUUCUGGUUUCUUCGCAUCUAUACACCUUUGUUUGCCUUCUAAUUGAUUUAUUUAAUAUUGGCUAUUGUUGGUGAGGUAUGAUUUUUUCCUUUGUGUCUUGUUGCGUUUUCCAGAUUCUCUUCAUCAAUCAAUUCACUUUGUUUCUCUGCCGUGUACACAUUCAAGUGAAAGAUGAUUAUAUAUUCCUUCCAAACGAGUUUUUUCUUAUAUCUUGUCCUUUUUAUAAGUUUUUUUUCUAUAGAACGACUUCAAGUUUCUCAGUACUAACAUGUCUUAGCUCCUCUCAUGUGGUUUAUUCAGGUUCCGUUCCUCUUUGCCUCCGGGAUCUGUUGCAAUAUGUUUGUUCUAACAUACUCCCUGGCUAACUGGUCUAUCCCCCUUUCUCUCUGGUGAUGUAUGUUAAAUCUUUAGAGGGUUUGAUCCUACUGUCAUAUGCUUGUGACGAUGUUUUUUUUUAUGUUAAGUGUCCCCCUUCUUUUAGGUUUUUUGAGGAUGCAAAGAAGGCUAGUUCUGUCUGAGAUUAUUUUGAAAGAUGUCUUUGAUCUGUCGUGGUUUCCUGUUACCUCUUUGGCGGUGUCUUAUCUCCUUUGUUUUAUUUUUAGGGUUUCUAAUUACCUGAUGUUUUUCUUUUCUAACUGUUGGAGAAAUUUUUGAUUUAGAUCGUAGAGGUCAAGGCAUUGUGGGAGGGAAAGAUGGUAUUCGUAUAAUUUUGUGUUUCUGGUUACUUCUCAUCUAUACACGUUUUUUCCUAUAGAUUGUUUUAUCUUAUAUUGGCUACUGUUGGUGAGGUAUGAUUUGUCCUGUGUUUGUUUCCCAGAUUUUCUUCACCAAUCACUUCACUCCAUUUCUCUACUGUGUAGAAGUCAAGGCAUGGGUGGAAGGAUGGUUUGAGUAUAAUUUUGUGUUUCUGGUUACUUCCUAUACACCUUUUUCUUAUAAAUUGAUUUAUCUAAUAUUGGCUAUUUUUGGUGAGCUAUGAUUUGUCCUCUGUGUCUGUGUUUCCUAGAUUUUCUUCACAAAUCUCUUCACUCCGUUUCUCUGCUGUGUACACACUUGAAAGAUGAUCAUAUAUUCCUUCCAAACGAGUCUGUUCUUAUGUCUUGUCCUAUUAAGUAAGUUUUUGUACUUAACGUUUUCAAAUAUCUUAGGUUAAAUAUCUGAGCUCCUCUGGUGUAGAAGGCUUGGCUGUGGUCUUUUCAGGUUUUUGUUUCUCAUGCCCUUUGGGAUAAUUCAGCAAUCUGUUUUCUUUUUUACAUACUCCGUGGAUUUUGAAUGUUGGCUUUCUGAGGUUUGGACUGUACCGUCAGGGAGUUUUCAACAUGACUUGCUAUUUGAUGUUUCAGGUUAAAAGUAGAUCUUCCUAGUGAUGUUCGCAUUUCUGUUUUAAGCCUAAGGCCCUGUCUUUUGUUAUAGAUAUUCGAGGUUCUAAAAGAGAUAAGCCUCAGGUUUACUAAAUAGAUUCUUUCCCCUUUAUCUCUGUUGGUGUUAUCUCUCAUGCUACAUCUAUAUUAGUGAUGGCUUGUUUUUAUGUGAAGUGCUCCGCUCCCCUUGUUUAUGGGUAUGUUGAGGAUGCAAAGGAGGCAAGUUCUAUUUUGAUUUGUUUUCCUCGAAAUUUUCAUCUACAGUGUUUGUUUUUUCCUUGAAGAUGUCUCUAUUUCUGAUUUUAUGCUCUAAAUGCUAAUCACUUCGGCUUGAGAUCUUCUCUUUCUAUAUGAAUUCAUUAUCUUCAUAUAGGAAUUUGGAAGAUGCAAGGAAAAAUUCUUCUUCGACCUGUUCGCCUAGAUUCCCAUGUAUUUGUGCAUCGGGAGUUUAGCUAAUCAGUUUUACAGGCUGCCUCAAUAGGGAUGAAAAUGGAGAGGUUCCAUCUUUGGUUGAUUCAGGUGUCAUUUGUGAAUUACUAUUGGUAUAAUUUUCUGGGUAUUCAAGAGAAGUAAGCUAGAGUUUCCUUGAUGUGUGGUUAUUACGCCUCUCUCUAUUUGUUCUAUUGUUAUAGGUUACUGGGUAUUGCUUUGUGGUUCUCACUGGUUGCCUUAAAGGUAUGAUCUCUAUUGGUAUGUUUCCUUUUUGUGUUAUUGUUUCACCUGUGUGUGUCUUAUUGUGUUUUCCAGGAUUUCUUCAUUAAUCACUUUACUCCGAUCCUCGGCAGUAUACUCGCAGUCAGAUUAAAGAUAAUCACUAAUUCCUUUUAACUGGGUUUGUACUAAGUAGUUUUUGUAUUGAACAUCUUCAAGUCUGUUAGGAUUGUUCAAGUCUACGCACCUCUUAUGCAGAAAGCUAGACAUGUUGUUAUUCAGGUAUUUGUUCCUCUUUCCUUCUUGAAUUUUCUGCAAUAUGUUGAUUCAUACUAACUGGAUUUUGAAGUGUGUUUCCUUUCCUGCGCUUUCGACUGCGAUAGUGGGACAUGAUUGGUACUUGUCAUUGGAUGUUUCCCGUCAACAGAAAUAUUCCUCACCUCCAUACAGAGUUGCCUCAAGGAAUUGUUUCAAUUGACGGUGUCCCAUCUUCUUCCUUGUUUCUGAUUUUACGAGGCAAUUUUUUUCGGAGAGUUUAUUUUAGUUGCAUUGUCUUUUGCUACUCAGUGAGGGUAAAUAUAUGCGCUGUAGAUAUUGAGGAUCCAGUACAAUUACUUUUGUGUUGGUCUGUUUCUCCAGCAAGACAAGGUAACGCUGAAGAUUCUGAGUUUGCUCUUCGGUUUUGUUAUGUAAACGUUUGUGUUUUGGUCUCUCUUCUGUUUAAUAGUCUCUGGGGAUUAGUUGGCCGUGAUGGUGGAAGCUCUGUAGGUUUACUUCUCUACCAUACUUGUUCUACCAAUUUGAAGAUUUGUCUUUUGUACCUUUGAUGAUUCUCAGUUUUGCAGCAAUGUCUCAGUUUUGCGCCUUCUAGUCAUUAAACUGCCACAAUGAGAUCUUUAGUGUUUUUGUAGGUACUUCCACGCUUGUUAGAAAUGUUAUGAUUAAUGCUAGCGGGACAUCAGAUUUGUUGUCGUUCUCAGAAGUUGGUAGGAAUGAAUCUUGUGAUUCUAUGGAACAGAUGUCAUUGUUUAUUUUUGAUAACAUGUGAUUCUUGCUGGUAGUGUGAAAUCUUGAGGGCAGGCCCAUAGAAGGUGAAGAGCCUCUUGGUUUUGAUGAUAAUGCCUCCCUACUUCUGACUUCUGAGGUUUCUUUCUUCCUGGGUUGUAGCUGGUUUAAUGGUUUUGUAGACAUUUGAUAAUGAAGUCCUCACAUCAUUUUGUCUGGGUGAUGUAAUAUGUUAUAAGUGGAUUUCAGGUGAGGCUUAAUCUCAUGGAUUAUUCUUGGGGAAUUCUCUCAGUUAAUCAGUUCUCUCAGUUAAUCAGUGAAAAUUGAGAAAAUGACAUUACUUCUGGUGAAGAAGUCGAUUGCAAUAUAUUGUUGGAUUGUUACCUCCAAAUCCUAGUUCCUUUCUUCCUUGGACAUACAUAUUGGUUAGAUUAUGCAAAUAAGCUGUUAUGUGGCUUGUAGGUCAAGGCUUGCUUGAAAUUCCUGAUGGUCUUCUGACACUAAUACAUAACCUCCGUUCUGGUUACUUUUAUUCACCUUCUACGACUGUGGAAGUGAUGUUUCCUCAACUCCUCAUCUCUUGAACCUUAAUUUGCCCUGUCGCACAUUGAAGCCUAUUUUUUGGUUGCAGUUUGUUAAGUUUUCAUGGGAAGCAUUGUCUUUGGAGUUGUUCACUGAAGUUGAUUUUUAAUCCUGAACUUGUUUUUCAUGGGAAGCACUUACAGAAGUGUCUGUGCUGUUUCAGUAUUCGAGUCUUGACACUUUCCCGAGAUUUGACCAAACUCUGAUGCGGAAGGCUCGACAUGUGGAAAUCAGUUUUUACUGGGCCAGAACUAUUCCAGGCCUUUAUCUUGUGUUGGUGAUUAGUGUUGCUCAUAUUCCACCUACUGAAGGGAGUUUGCUAUAUGGUACGGAUGCCAUGUGUCUUUAUUUACGUGAUUAAUAUAAGUCGUACUUGCUGGUAUUGUGGCCUCUUGGGGACUCACUGAAGGUAGAAAAUGUCUUUAUUUUGGUGAUAAUGCUCCUUACUUUUGAGGUUGGGCGGUUUUGUUGUGAAAAAUGAAAUGAAUGUCUGCUCUUGUUAUAUUGUUGUUUGCUAUUAUUGAUCGCAUGUUGUUGGUUUAGUUCGGGAGAGGUUUAAACUUGUGGCCUCGUUGCGUAGUGUUCUUAGUUUAGUCAGAGAUGAUUGAGUGAACUUACUGCUGGUGAAGAAGUUGAUUGCAAUAUGUUGCUUGCAGGUCAAAGUUUGCAUACUGACGCCGGUUUCAAUGAAAUUACUGAUGUACCUUUAUGUUUAACUCAGAGUUGCCUAGAUCAGUUAUGGGCCCUGCCGUGUGGUUGCUUUGACUUGGCGUCUACAAUUUCGCAAGUGAUGUUUUCUCAACUUGUCAUUGUUCGAACCUUGAGGAGGCUCAUAUUGGUUUGUCGCACAUUGAAGUCUACGCUGGUGUUGUAGUUUGUGAAGUUUUCAUGGGAAGCAGCAUUGUGGUUGGAGUAGACCGAAAAUGAUUAAUGUUUGUUUGAUUAGUGAUAUUGUUCACUUAUCGACUUUUGUAUGUAAUUUAUUCUCUGAGGGAAUUGAAGUCUUGUUCCAGAAGUCUUUGGAGCCGUUGAGUCUGAAAGUCUUGGAUGUAUAUGAUUCUAUAUUGUUAGAAUAAAUUUUCAUUCUCAAUACCAUUGUUGCUUCCGUUG